rnacentral:rRNA from 1 species
UGGGGAAUUUUGGACAAUGGGCGAAAGCCUGAUCCAGCAAUGCCGCGUGUGUGAAGAAGGCCUUCGGGUUGUAGAGCACUUUUGUCCGGAAAGAAAUCCUUGGCUCUAAUACAGUCGGGGGAUGACGGUACCGGAAGAAUAAGCACCGGCUAACUACGUGCCAGCAGCCGCGGUAAUACGUAGGGUGCAAGCGUUAAUCGGAAUUACUGGGCGUAAAGCGUGCGCAGGCGGUUUGCUAAGACCGAUGUGAAAUCCCCGGGCUCAACCUGGGAACUGCAUUGGUGACUGGCAGGCUAGAGUAUGGCAGAGGGGGGUAGAAUUCCACGUGUAGCAGUGAAAUGCGUAGAGAUGUGGAGGAAUACCGAUGGCGAAGGCAGCCCCCUGGGCCAAUACUGACGCUCAUGCACGAAAGCGUGGGGAGCAAACAGGAUUAGAUACCCUGGUAGUCCACGCCCUAAACGAUGUCAACUAGUUGUUGGGGAUUCAUUUCCUUAGUAACGUAGCUAACGCGUGAAGUUGACCGCCUGGGGAGUACGGUCGCAAGAUUAAAACUCAAAUGAAUUGAC